rnacentral:rRNA from 1 species
ACUGGGCGUAAAGGGCACGCAGGCGGUUAUUUAAGUGAGGUGUGAAAGCCCCGGGCUUAACCUGGGAAUUGCAUUUCAGACUGGGUAACUAGAGUACUUUAGGGAGGGGUAGAAUUCCACGUGUAGCGGUGAAAUGCGUAGAGAUGUGGAGGAAUACCGAAGGCGAAGGCAGCCCCUUGGGAAUGUACUGACGCUCAUGUGCGAAAGCGUGGGGAGCAAACAGGAUUAGAUACCCUGGUAGUCCACGCUGUAAACGCUGUCGAUUUGGGGAUUGGGCUUUAAGCUUGGUGCCCGUAGCUAACGUGAUAAAUCGACCGCCUGGGGAGUACGGCCGCAAGGUUAAAACUCAAAUGAAUUGACGGGGGCCCGCACAAGCGGUGGAGCAUGUGGUUUAAUUCGAUGCAACGCGAAGAACCUUACCUACUCUUGACAUCCAUGGAAUCUUGUAGAGAUAUGAGAGUGCCUUCGGGAACCAUGAGACAGGUGCUGCAUGGCUGUCGUCAGCUCGUGUCGUGAGAAG